GCUCAGGGCUGAUAUCCGCCGGUCGUGUAGCUGUCUCUUAAGCUCUCCAUCCUGCGGGAAAACACAAGGGGACAAUCACCACCUGCCACACGGACAUCCACCUAAACACACGGCAUCCACAUGCACGCUAAGCCGCCACGGAGCAGCAUUAGGCCGAUAAAGUUUCCCUCGCACAGCCGCCUCGGCGUUAGCUUGAGGAGCUAGCCGUGUAAUACAUGUACUUUAAAUACCUGUGGGUCCUGCUUCAUCUGGGCAACUAGUUCAGUAACUGCGGCCUUAUUACGCUAAAACAAAAGUCCCCUCAAGUUUUGUUAGUGUGAGGAAGGGAGGAACAAAGCGGAGGAGGUGGAGGAGGAGGAGGAGGUGGAGGCGACUCUUUGGCUCCUCAUAAAUAUUCAGGUCGCGUCCGGAUCGCCGCCACACCACCGCAUUAUUAGCCCGAGAAGAAAAGAGGGCUUCUUGUUGCACCGCGAACAACAACAACAAACAAACAAACAAACAAAGCCGUAGAGAUUCAGAGCACAAGUGGCGCGUGCUCGACGUUAUUAAGCGACAUCUUGUUUCUGCGGCUGCUUCUUUACGACCACCGGAGAACAACGACGGCUGGUUACCUGGUGACAUUGGAUCUCUACUUUCAGCGCCUCUUGCAGGCCUCGUACUUCCAUGUUUCCGGCCCGGCCACACAAAAAAAACUCACUUUUCUGACACUUUUUUCCGACGCCACCGACGCGAAGUUUUUUUUCCUUUUUUAAUCAGAAUAUAUAUUUUUUCUUAUUUCCAAAGCGACGAUAACAAUUGGAAGAACGAACUACUCGAGCUGACGGCAAAAAAAGCAAGUUCUCGCUUUUUUUUUUCGCAGGCUCGGGACUCAUCACCCCCACUUUCCGCCCGUCUGCGAAAAGUGCUCCAAACCCGGCGGAAAGAGCUCAGGCCCCGGCGGCUCUUCUCCAGAUUCGCGGCCAAACGUCGAGUGGUCCGACGGGGGAGCGGGGCUGCUUUCCCGUCGGUUAUUUUAAGUUGAAACACGGGGACUAUAUUCUGUCCGAGUCCGCGGCUUGAUUUCACUUUGCCUGGGGAAAAGUUGCGCUUCGGCUGUCAAUGGUAAUUCUGAGAGUUCCCGGAUGGAGCAGCGAGGGCAUGCGCAGUAGGGAGAAGCUACAACUACUUCAAGGAGCAUUUUAUAAAUGCCGAACCCCCACUGAGCGGAGACACCUUCACGCUGCACAGCAGGAAGCAAACCUCUACAGGGAAACCUGCAGGAACCAGAGUAGAUCCUUCAAGAGACAUGAUGAAUAGCUGAAUGUAAGAAGUGGACGUAGUCAUGGCGACGUAGAAACGUCCGAUUGACUCUAAAUAGACCAUAAUGCACUAAAUGAGCACAAUGUUGUGUUGAAGAAGACUUGAAACUAGAGACUAAACUCAUGUUUACAAUGUUUACUGAGGGAAUAAAUCCAGAGAGAAGUAGAGUCAUUUCCUCAUAGACGUCUAUGGGAGCAGAGGAGUCGCCCCCUGCUGGUCACUACAGAGAAGUAGAGUCAUUUCCUCAUAGACGUCUAUGGGAGCAGAGGAGUCGCC
ensembl:lncRNA